CACCGCUCCCCUCCAUCCCCUCGAACUAUCAUUUUGUCCUAGGUCGAUCCCCUCGAUCGCGGCCUCCGCCGUACGAUCUCGCCGCCGCCGUAUGGGAUCACCUACGACGUACAAUCUCGCCGCCACCGCAAGCCUUUCCUCCCACCCCGCCUCCUCUCGUCUCUUUGCCCCCGAUCUAGAUGGCGCCUCCAAUCUCGGCGGGGCGGCGACCUCGAGCGACGGCAGCACCGCUGGAUCUCCUCCACCCCCACUCAAUCAAUACUGGUACCCGAGGCUCUCCUCCUCGACCGACCGCGAGCAACGCCGCCGCCUCACCGUCUUCUUCUACCAUCACCAACCGCCUGCUCGCGUCCCCGCCAUCCCCUUGUUUGUGGUCUGUGAUGGAGUGAAGUAUCGAUGACCAUCACCUCUCCCCCGCCAUCAUAUUCCCUAGAGGUGGAUACAAAGCUUUGGGAUGACCCACUCGGUGCCGGCUGGAACACCCACGACGCCGGGCUCCUCGGCGUGGCUCCCGCGAGAAUGGGUGCACAUCGGAAUCUGUCCUGCAACGCCAGCGAUUCCAUGGCGAAGUGAUUGUGUUCGACAACAGUAACUUGGGUUGGUUUCCAUCUAUAGAUUGUAGAUGGGAAAUGAUACCUGGUGGAGGCAAUGUUCUGUACAAGUGUUUGAUUAGAACGACACUGCAAAUAAAUUGGUGACAAGAGGCAAAUUCUUGCGGUGCCCGAUGAGGACAUACUCCUACGUCGAUCCAUGUACGAACUGGGAGCAGCAUCGAUCCGAUGAACGCACAAGGAAUAUCCAACAGAUUACCCUUACUACUAUAUUUUUUAUCCAUGAAUGUCAUCUUGGGCCCCUGUACGAUUUGAUUACAUGAUGUUGUGUCCUCAAACUUUACUCUGAGUUAUUUGUUAGAUGCUCGGUGAAAUUCAGAAUUAUUUUUCUUCUGUCUUCCCAGUGAUGGAAGGUAGAUUGAGCUGAUAAAUUUCUGCACCCACCUUGAGGUCCAUAACGUUCUCCUAAUUGUAUGCAGCACAAUCGUAAAGAUGUAUUUGUUUGAGGGAGAGGACUGUCUCUUAUCAGAAGCAACAUUAUGUGAUCAUCAUGUGUUGGAUCUUGGUCCCCUGUAUGAGUUGAAUACAUGAUGUAGUGUCCUCAACAUUUACUCUGAAUUAUAUGUUAGAUGCUCGAUGAAAUUCACAGCUAAGCGUUUUUUUUCUUUUGUCGUGCCAGUGAUGGAAGGUAGAUUGAGCUGAAAAUUUUCUGCACCCACCUUGAGGUCCAUAAGGUUCUCCUAAUUAUAUGCAGCCCAAUCGUAAAGAUAUAUUUGUUUGCGGAGAAGACUAUCAGUUAUCAGAAGCAACAUUAUGUGAUCAUCAUGUGUGAGAGAGACGGCAAGAGUAUGUGAUAUUUAUUUCUGUGUGGACUACUAAUAUGUAUUGACUGUUCAUGUUGCUACAGUAGGUUCAUGAUUGAUUAUGGCAACAAGGAAAUCACUCGAGAAGGAUUUUAUUAGUAUGCACACUUUGAGACUUGAGAGGCUGUUAUUGAUUAAGGAAUCUAUGUCUGCUAGAGAGGCCGAUGCCAAAUCAGCAUCGGAAAAGGGCAAGAUAAGGGGACUGAGGUGAAGUCCUUUCUUCUCUGUCUCUAUGCUAUGCUGAUACGUUCAAACCAGCAUUUUAAAUAUCGAUACCUAUAAUUCAUUGAUUAGCUCAAACAAAUGAUACUAGACAGAAGAAUACUGCAAUUGAUCUAUGAAAAUUUGUUAGAUUUUAGUAUCUAUCUAACAUCUAAGAGAAAAAAUGUGAUGAACAUUUUCUCACAAGGUUAUGUAUAUCUUUAAAAUUUGGUACUGAGAGAAGGCCUUAAAUGCUUGCAAAUCCUCUGUUUUAAGAGCAGCACCUGGAUCCAACGAACCAAAUAUGCAAGCACGCAAUACAAUGAUGUUUUUUCUUCUCCAUUACUGAAUCUUCUUUUUAUAAGUAUUUAGUUUGGAAGGCAGUAUCUAGAUAUUCGGAGAGAUUGGUUGCACGCUGCGAGUUUAUCCGAUUCAGAUCCAUGUCUUCUUUCGUACUGCAUCUUCUAGCAUUGCUGUUCGCAGGUUGUCCAUGCUCCUUUAGAUCCUUUCUCAAUGGAUAUUCAGAUUUUUUUUAUAUGGUUGCAAACAUCCCUUGCUCCAUGACAACACUCUGCCCCACCGUUCUACUAUUGCUCAGUAGUUCACUUAACAUUGGACUUAAUAGUAAAACAAAGGUAAAUUUGUGGAGUUAGACAAUACAGUACACUGCUUCUCAAUAGCCUAAUAACUUCUAUAUUUUUUUCUAUUGUGUUUAAUUUCCAUUUGCUCUAAUUUUAUUUUCUCAGAGACAUUUCAUUAGCUAAUACGCCGGCCUUUUUUUACCCUUCUGAUAGUACGAGUCGUCCAGUUUGUGUUGUGUGUUGGAUGAUACUUAUGAAGGAUAUUUUAAAUAUCAUGGAUGAAAUAUAUGUAUCAUGUUGUUUCGCUUAAAUAAUAUUUUUGUAUUUUCCCUCCUUUCCACUUUAGGACUAUAAACUUUCGUUCUCUAAAUGUUUUCUUUUUAUACACGGGCUCAGUCUCUUUUCAUCAGUGUUAAUGACAACAAGUGAAAAGGUUUCUGCCAUGCCAAGUAAUAGCUUAGGUUAAUGGCUAAAAGCAAGGUAUAUCACAAUUCAUCAUUGCUUAAAUCUAUUGUAGACGCACUUCAAUUAUGUUCCGCAACUUGCUGACUUAUGUUUUUAAUAUAAUUUCAUGUUGCUACACUAUUCAUGUCGUCAACAAACAUUGUCUAAUUGCCUGCUUAAUGAGGCUAAGGCCGCGCUUGGAUCAUCGUUUUCAGCCCAAAACACCUGUAAAACAUGCACCCGUACAAAAAAAUCAGUUGUAACUGAGUUCAGUGCUUGGAUGGUCGGUUUUGGGACAUAUUUACACUUGUUUUUAGAAUACACCGAUUUUCAGCCGGUAUGCGAAACACUGGUCAACCCAUCUAUUUUGUACCUCCGUACUCUCUCUCUCUCUCUCUCUCUCUCUCUCUCGCGCGCGCGCGCGGGGGAAACCUAGGCGAGCGAGCAGGAGAACAUGCACCGCCGGCAGAGUGCAAUCUUAUGAAAUCACUAUGGGACACAGUUCCAAUAAAGAAAAGUUACACUUCGAUCUUAGCGUCGUUAGCGGAGACAAGGAUGUUUCCGGCCGCCAUGCGCGCAUCUUCUAUAAUUUCAACACCACUGGUAGGUCAGUAGCUGCGACCCACCCAAAAAUCCCGUCAGUUCAACGCAGUUAUGGUCGAUUGAGAGCGAGCGACGGCCGGACUAAGGGCAGCAGCGGCAACUCUCAUAUUUCAGUUCUACUCUUCCAUCUUGUGUUGGCUCUGGUGUACGACUACAUGCGGUGGCGGCCUGUACAAGGGUCUGUCGAUAAUAGCUGAGCACGACAAGGCGACCCGAGGGAGAUGGAGGAAGACCAGGUUAAAUUAGUGAACUGCCCUAUAUGGAAUCGCUAGAAAAAAAUCAUGUCAAUUUCCUCUACCGCGCCUCCACUCUGCAAGAAAAAGAAGUCCAGGCUAUAAACUCUAGACUGUUGGAUUCAUCUAGAACCCUAAAAAGAUCGGUUUGAUCUGUAACAUAUCAUCUACAAAAAUUGAUUUUUUACAUUUAAAUAUUUUUGCAUUGCUCUUGACUAGAUUGUUUUGUAGGGAGCAUAGGAGAGCAAGAUGGGGUGGUCUGCAUCACCUUCAGUUGGCACAUGCGCAUGCACCUGCAGUAAUCAUUAUCUUUCCCAUGGUUAAGAUGUAUGAUGCAUGAACUUCUAAUAUUUUGAUGUUAAUUUCAAAUGGCUGAUGGAAGAUAAUUUGCUUCUAAUAGUUGUUAUGUAUUGACCCUUGCUUGUUCUUGUUGUAGAUGAAAUUGACCUGAUAGCUCUUAUGUUAGCACUUUCUAAAGUUCACAUUUAUUACAUGCCAUUUGUGUGCUCAAGAAAUAUCUGGACAAUCUUUUGCUAGCGGUAAGUUUCAUGUUUGUGACUUUUUGCUAUGUCAAACGAAGAACAGAAGCCCGAAGCCCGUUACUGUGUGAAUAAUGGCCUCCUUCUGAAGAUAUUUAAUUCACCAUGCUUAUUCAGAGCGAGAUGAGAUAUUUUGAAGCGACAUCAAUUCUAGAGAAAGAUGGACGAUGUGCAGGGAAAUGAGGGGUGGAGGAAAAGAUGUCACUUGUCUUCUCAAAAUUAGAGGGUUAAAGAGAUAGGACAACUGCCAAGGAGGAAAGUGCAGAUGAAGAGAGCAGAUAUGAAGGGGAAGGAGGGGCGGAGAAAAAUAUGUCACUUCUAUUCUCAAGUAGAAGAUGGUUUGAAGAGACAUGACAACCACCGAGGAGGAAAUAAGCAUGAGCGAGAAUUAACUCACAUUUCUGAAAUAGAACUAAUGUUUGACAAUGUCUUCUUUAUUCCUGCAAUGCAAGGGUAGCGGCGGCUGGGCUUGAUUAAUUGCACUCUUUGAAGGAUUGACGAUUGCUGCAGCGUCUGAUCAUGUGAGGGUAAUAAAUAUUUUUCUUGCUAAAAAACCGUUGUCACUUGGAAUAAUAUACGACGGGGGCCUCAUUGGAGUUUAUCUUA